AGCAGCCGCGGUAAUUCCAGCUCCAAUAGCGUAUAUUAAAGUUGUUGCAGUUAAAAAGCUCGUAGUUGAAUUUCGGGGUUCUACCGUUGGUCGGGCUUUGUCUGUACUGGCGUGUAGAAUUUCUACCUUCUGGGGAACCAUCAUGUUAUUAAUUUAACGUGGUGGGAAACCAGGACCUUUACCUUGAAAAAAUUAGAGUGUUCAAAGCAGGCUUAUGUCUGAAUACAUUAGCAUGGAAUAAUAGAAUAGGACGGUGGUCCUGUUUUGUUGGUUUCUGAAUCACCGUAAUGAUUAAUAGGGAUAGUUGGGGGCAUUAGUAUUCAAUUGUCAGAGGUGAAAUUCUUGGAUUUAUUGAAGACUAACUUCUGCGAAAGCAUUUGCCAAGGAUGUUUUCAUUAAUCAAGAACGAAAGUUAGGGGAUCGAAGACGAUCAGAUACCGUCGUAGUCUUAACCAUAAACUAUGCCGACUAGGGAUCGGACGAUGUUAACUUUUCUUGACUCGUUCGGCGCCUUACG
rnacentral:misc_RNA from 1 species